UACAGAGGAGCCAAGCGUUGUCCGGAUUGACUGGGCGUAAAGCGCCCGCAGGCGGAUGCGCGCGUGGGGUGUGAAAUCUGGCCGCUUAACGGCCAGGCGCCAUCCCAUACGGCGCGUCUGGAGUGAUGCAGAGGUCGAUGGAAUUGCCGGUGUAGUGGUGAAAUGCGUAGAGAUCGGCAGGAACACCCAGGGGGAAACCAGUCGACUGGGCAUCUACUGACGCUGAGGUGCGAGAGCGUGGGGAGCGAACCGG
rnacentral:rRNA from 1 species